UGGGGAAUUUUGGACAAUGGGCGAAAGCCUGAUCCAGCAAUGCCGCGUGUGUGAAGAAGGCCUUCGGGUUGUAAAGCACUUUUGUCCGGAAAGAAAUCCUUGGCUCUAAUACAGUCGGGGGAUGACGGUACCGGAAGAAUAAGCACCGGCUAACUACGUGCCAGCAGCCGCGGUAAUACGUAGGGUGCAAGCGUUAAUCGGAAUUACUGGGCGUAAAGCGUGCGCAGGCGGUUUGCUAAGACCGAUGUGAAAUCCCCGGGCUCAACCUGGGAACUGCAUUGGUGACUGGCAGGCUAGAGUAUGGCAGAGGGGGGUAGAAUUCCACGUGUAGCAGUGAAAUGCGUAGAGAUGUGGAGGAAUACCGAUGGCGAAGGCAGCCCCCUGGGCCAAUACUGACGCUCAUGCACGAAAGCGUGGGGAGCAAACAGGAUUAGAUACCCUGGUAGUCCACGCCCUAAAACGAUGUCAACUAGUUGUUGGGGAUUCAUUUCCUUAGUAACGUAGCUAACGCGUGAAGUUGACCGCCU
rnacentral:rRNA from 1 species